AGUAACACGUAGGUAAUCUACCUUUGGGUGGGGAAUAACUCAGGGAAACUUGAGCUAAUACCGCAUAAUGCAGCGGCACCGCAAGGUGACAGUUGUUAAAGGAGCAAUCCGCCUAAAGAGGAGCCUGCGGCAGAUUAGGUAGUUGGUAAGGUAAUGGCUUACCAAGCCUGCGAUCUGUAGCCGACCUGAGAGGGUGGUCGGUCACACUGACACUGAAUAACGGGUCAG
rnacentral:rRNA from 1 species